rnacentral:rRNA from 1 species
GAUGAACGCUGGCGGCGUGCUUAACACAUGCAAGUCGAACGGAAAGGCUCCUGCUUGCCGGGGUGCUCGAGUGGCGAACGGGUGAGUAACCCGUGGGUGAUCUGCUCUGCACUUAGGGAUACGCCUGGGAAACUGGGUCUAAUACCGGAUAGGACCGCAUCCUGGAUGGUGUGGUGGAAAGUUUUUUCGGUGUGGGAUGAGAUCGCGGCCUAUCAGAUUGUUGGUGGGGUAAUGGCCUACCAAGGCGUCGACGGGUAGCCGGGCUGAGAGGGCGUACGGCAACGUUGGGACUGAAAUACGGCCCAGACUCCUACGGGGGGCAGCGGAGGGGAGUAUUACACAAUGGACGCAAGCCUGAUGCAGCGACGCCGCGUGGGGGGUGACGGCCUUCGGGUUGUAAACUCCUUUCGCGAGGGACGAAGAGUAAUUGACGGUACCUGGGGAAGAAGCACCGGCUAACUACGUG